CGCAAGAUAGCAGAGGUGGCGCGCAGCCCGGCGAGCCGAUGACGGACCCCUUCUUCCUGCCUUCAAUGCCUCAGCGGAAGAUCCCCAAGGGCUGGAGCGAGGAGCGCUGCCGCUGGACAUCCUCCCGGGGAGGCUGCUCCGACCUGCUGCGCGGCGCGUCUGAGACUGGGGACUGAGCCACCCCGCCGCCGCCGCCGCCCGCUCCGUCGCUGCCGUCGGUCUGGACUGGCCCCCACCUCGCUGCGCCCGCUCCCCGGCUCCGGCCCCGGCUCGGGGCAUCCCGGGGCUCGCCCUGCGACCGCCGCCUCCCGCGCGCCGCGUCCUCCCGACCCCGCGGCGGCGACGAUGCCGGGGAGGAGGGUCCUCACGGCGGCGGCGCGGAUGGUGGCGGCCGGCGCCCGGGUGUGAUGCGAGCGUUACGGUGGGGAUGCUGCUGGCUGCGCGGCGCUGAGGGCCAGCGAGAGCCCGCCCGGGGCGGAGGACGGACUCAUCCGGAUCUGGCUGCAGCGUGGGCUCGGAGCUCCCCCUUCCUCUGGGUCUCCCUCUCGGCCCCCCUUUAUUUCGUUCUUGCUUUGCGUCUUUAACACCUCUCGACCCUGUCCUCCCCCCGCCACUGGAAGUCUUCCCGUCUCUAAAUGGAAUUAGUGGAGCCCGGAGCCUCUGGUGUAACGCACAGACAUGAUCCAUGGGCGCAGCGUGCUUCACAUUGUAGCAAGUUUAAUCAUCCUCCAUUUGUCUGGGGCAACCAAGAAAGGAACAGAAAAGCAAACCACCUCAGAAACACAGAAGUCAGUGCAGUGUGGAACUUGGACAAAACAUGCAGAGGGAGGUAUCUUUACCUCUCCCAACUAUCCUAGCAAGUAUCCCCCUGACCGGGAAUGCAUCUACAUCAUAGAAGCUGCUCCAAGACAGUGCAUUGAACUUUACUUUGAUGAAAAGUACUCUAUUGAACCGUCUUGGGAGUGCAAAUUUGAUCAUAUUGAAGUUCGAGAUGGACCUUUUGGCUUUUCUCCAAUAAUUGGACGUUUCUGUGGACAACAAAAUCCUCCUGUCAUAAAAUCCAGUGGAAGAUUUCUAUGGAUUAAAUUUUUUGCUGAUGGAGAGCUGGAAUCUAUGGGAUUUUCAGCUCGAUACAAUUUCACACCUGAUCCUGACUUUAAGGACCUUGGAGCUUUGAAACCAUUACCAGUGUGUGAGUUUGAGAUGGGCGGUUCCGAAGGAAUUGUGGAAUCUAUACAAAUUAUGAAGGAAGGCAAAGCUACUGCUAGCGAGGCUGUUGAUUGCAAGUGGUACAUCCGAGCACCUCCACGGUCCAAGAUUUACUUACGAUUCUUGGACUAUGAGAUGCAGAAUUCAAAUGAAUGCAAGAGGAAUUUUGUGGCUGUGUAUGAUGGAAGCAGUUCUGUGGAGGAUUUGAAAGCUAAGUUCUGUAGCACUGUGGCUAAUGACGUGAUGCUACGCACGGGUCUUGGGGUGAUCCGGAUGUGGGCAGAUGAGGGCAGUCGAAACAGCCGAUUUCAGAUGCUCUUCACAUCCUUUCAAGAACCUCCUUGUGAAGGCAACACGUUCUUCUGCCAUAGUAACAUGUGUAUUAAUAAUACUUUGGUCUGCAAUGGACUCCAGAACUGUGUGUAUCCUUGGGAUGAAAAUCACUGUAAAGAGAAGAGGAAAACCAGCCUGCUGGACCAGCUGACCAACACCAGUGGGACUGUCAUUGGCGUGACUUCCUGCAUCGUGAUCAUCCUCAUUAUCAUCUCUGUCAUCGUACAGAUCAAACAGCCUCGUAAAAAGUAUGUCCAAAGGAAAUCAGACUUUGACCAGACAGUUUUCCAGGAGGUAUUUGAACCUCCUCAUUAUGAGUUAUGCACUCUCAGAGGGACAGGAGCUACAGCUGACUUUGCAGAUGUGGCAGAUGACUUUGAAAAUUACCAUAAACUGCGGAGGUCAUCUUCCAAAUGCGUUCAUGACCAUCACUGUGGAUCACAGCUGUCCAGCACUAAAGGCAGCCGCAGUAACCUCAGCACAAGAGAUGCUUCUAUCUUGACAGAGCUGCCCACACAGCCAGGAAAACCCCUCAUCCCACCCAUGAACAGAAGAAAUAUCCUUGUCAUGAAACACAACUACUCGCAAGAUGCUGCAGAUGCCUGUGACAUAGAUGAAAUUGAAGAGGUGCCGACCACCAGUCACAGGCUGGCCAGACACGAUAAAGCCGUCCAGCGGUUCUGCCUCAUUGGGUCUCUAAGCAAACAUGAAUCUGAAUACAACACAACUAGGGUCUAAAAAGAAAAUUCAAGCUAAUCUCUUCUAAACUCCUCAAGCCCAUCAACUAUUCUUGAACUAGAGAAGAACUAUUUAUACAAACAUGGGGACUGUGAAAAGAAAAUUCUAUAGUGAAUUGUGAAAAGUGGACAUAUUUCUAAAUUCAUUCCACUGCCUUUAUCCAAACUUAAGAAUUACAGACAUUUGUUAUUCCUUCGGCAAGACAUCCCCGCUGCACAAUGAUAUGUUCAUUUCGUAAUUUGGUUGCUGGCCACCAAGUGCUCCUUAGUUUUUAAAUACAUUUUGAGAUUAACUGGAAACUUGAAGAAGAAAUUAGUUCCCGAUUAAGACUAUCCCAACUUUAUUUUUAUUGUCAGUUUCACUUUUGUUUCUAUGUUGUUUUAUGUCUUUGUUAUAUAAUUGUACAUUGUGUGAUAUGUGAAAAAAACACGAAUUUGGAUGAACCUUGUGUUACAUGUACAUUGUUUUCAUUAUAUAGACAGCUUGAGAAUAGUGCGUUCCUGAAUGAUUUUGAACAUGCUACAGUGAAAAGUGACAGUGUGGACCAUGGAAUCACCAGCUAGAGGUUAUGGACUAUACACACCUAUUAUUAUAUUCUGAUUAAAUACAGGAAAAAGUAACGAGUAAAAUUACUAGAUUGCAAUAAAAAAUUUCAUUUUUUGGUCUUUCCUAUAUACCCCUGAUUUCCUUUUUGUUUUAUAUCAAAGAAAGUACUGAGUUUCAGAAAUCUUUUUUGAAGUCAGGUAUUUUACCAUUCAUACCCUACAGUAGAAAUGUUUUUGAUUAAGCACUCAGCAAUAUUACCAAACUGACAGUUUGAGAAAAUACCCUGCAUGUCAGUACUGGAUAUUGGAGUUGGGAAAAUAUCCUUUUUGUUAGACACGUUGUAAAAAGCAUGCAUUGUCAAAUACUGUUGUUACUCUUCCAUUUCUUUAUGUCAUAUGCUUGCUACUUAUGACUUUUUAUAUAAAUAUAUAUAAAAUGUAGAAUAAUUUCCUAAUUUGAGUUAAGAGAAAUGUUUUCUUCCAUUAGAAUGAUUAAAAAACUGACUCACAUAAAUACACAUUUUAUAUCAACUCUUUCCACCUUUUAGGGUACAGGAUGUCCUUCAGUAUUGAGGUUUACUUCCCAAAAUAUUUGGCUUCUAAAAGUUUAGGGGAAUAUUUUCUUCUUUAAGAACAGGGAACUCUUUUUAAAACUGCUUUAAAAUCACAAGCCCUUUUAUGAACCAAACUACACCAUUAUGAAUUAUUCGUAUUCUCAGGCACACAUAAUACACCUGAAAGCUUAGUGAUUAUGAUGUGUUUAACAUAAAGUAAAAUCCUAAAAUAUAUUUUAUUGCUAUUAAAUUAUAUACACACUCUGUAAAGUUUGAUUUGGUGAGUAGUUAUUUUUUAAAAUAUUCAAUGUGUAAUCUUACAAAAUACAUUUUUAAAAUAAGAAUUACUGUCAGUAUAUAUGCUUCCCAACAUUUUCAAAACUAGUGAAUUCUCCAGGUUGAAAGAACUCUGUCCUUCCACUAGCAAAGCGGUCUGGUCUACUAAAAUUUGGACUGUGCAAUUCCAGCAGGCUUUGCAAACUAAAUAGAUGAAUUACUGUUAUACUUCCCUACUAGGAAUUCAAUGUCAUAUAUGUUAAAAAAUAAGUAAAUAGAAAAUAAAAUAAAAUUUUAUAAUAGAAAAGUCAAAGAAUUAUCAUAGCCGCUAUAAACACUCUAUCUUGAAAAAAUGUCAAGCUACAGCGUCACUUCAAUGAAUCUGAUAAACUAGGGAAUCAGAAAAGGUUUUGAACAUGACACAGAUUAUUUUUCAUUGUUAUGCUACAUAGUUUUAUACACAUUGCUUAUGAUAAAAUGUACCCUUUUUUAUUUGGCUUGACUGGUUUAUUUAUUACCAUGGUUCUUUUUUUGCCCUUUAAUUCAAAAUUAAUACACCAAAUAUUUUUUAAAGGAUUAAUCGUAUCUUAUAUUGCUUUCUCCAUUUAGAAAUCUUCAGAGGACUGCUUUCUCUUUGAAUUAUAAUCUCAAAAGUAUGAUAUAACUGUCAAGAUUUUUUUAUUUGUAACAGCAACAAAAAUGGUGAAAUCAGUUAGCUGAACACUUUACUAUUAAUUUGUUCUAUAACCGUCCGGGAUGUCCGUCCCCCCCAGUUUCUCCUAAAUAUACAGAAUGCUGAUUCCCUGCUUAAAAGAUAUUUUCACCGGAAGUCUACUAAUGGGACUUUAAAAAAAAAAUCACUAAAUGAAGUGUAAUAAUAAGAAUGAAUAGCUCACAUACAUUUAACACACAGCAGCUUCAUGGGAAAACAACUGUAUUUUAAAUGAAGAACAGGCCUCCUCAGCGAUAACUCUAAAAUUUCUCAACAAUGUACAGACACAGACUAAUCAUAAAAGAAGAUCAUGACGUUGCUGGGCAGUUUCUGCAGGCAGCCUUUUCUCCUGGCAUUCACUCUAGAUGCUGAAACUUGGGAGUGCAGGGCUCUAGCAGAGCUGGGAGACGUUCUCUGGAGGGUUCUGGUGGUGCUUAUUUAUCAGCCAGUAUUGAGAUUUGUCAAUAUAUCAAAAACUAUUUAGUAGCUAUAUCAGACCUAAUCACCUGAAUGCAACCUUUGGCCCACAUUCUAAAGGUGGUGACACACAUAGAUAAGGAAUGAGAUGUUUCAAGACUUUUAAGUCAUGUUAUUUUAAUAAAUGAUUAUAUUUUUUGAUAAAGUGAAUUCAAAUAUUACCAACUCAAGUGCUUUAUUGAUUUAACAAGAUGAUUUCAAAUAAUGUAUUAAGUUAGCCUGCUCCGUUAAUUUGAUAAAGCUGUUCUUUUUCAUUUUAUUUUUUCAAGGUUUCAUUCACUUUUCAAAAUCAUGGUAGCAUAUCGUCACAUGCAGUGCCAAUGAAGCCCCAUAUUUAAUAAGCUUCGUACUUCUGUCCAGAUGUAUUGUAGUUGCCUAAUUUCAAGGUUCAAAUUUGGAAAUCUGAUUUAUUUUGUAUGUUUUUAUAUACAUACCAAUUUUAAGCAUUAUCUUGCAAAGUAGACAUAGAUGGUGUUUGAUUUGCCAUAAUGAACUUGAAUUCGAUUUUGUAACUAAAAUGUGGCUAUCCACAUAAUUGGAGGUCAAUGUCUUUGGGCUUUUAAUGGAGAACAAAUCACACUGUGGUGAUGCUGGUUUUUCUGUUUCACAUUGACUUUUGCUCUAGAAGUAUAUCUGUGAGUCUGAUGACUCCAUAAGUUAUGAUCCUCAGUGUUAAGUAACUUAGACCGUUGGCAUUACUUUAAUAUUCACUUAAGCUUCUGUAUCAUUUUUUUCUGUAUUUUUCCCUUAGGAAUUUAAUUUGGGUCUUCCUCAAAUUUUAUAGCUUUUUAAAAAAAUUCCAUGAAUGGGUUUUCCUCAACCUCAGAAUAUCAUAAUAAAUUACAAGAUAUGACCCUGGUUCCUAUUACCUUGAUUAAAGUGAUGGCAAUUAAUUUACUGAUGUUUUGUCAGUGAAAUAAAUAAGAGCAUCUUAUGAAGUUUGUGUAUCUCUGUGAUGAAAAUGAGUCGUGUCAGAUUCCCUCUCUGAAGGGAAGUUAAAUAAACAACAUUUUUUAAAUUCUUUGAAUUCUAAAUAAAUAUGCUUUGAAAAGUGAGUUAGGGUUUUGUCUAAUUGCACUGAGGCGAGUUAGCUUCUGUGCCAUUUUUCUCUGUGCACUUUUUCCUCCAUGGAUUCAUUUCUACAUAUUGCAGUCUAGCAUAAAGGACCCAGCCAAGAAAUUGAAAAAUGGAUUCAACAACAAAAUAAACAGCUCUUGAGUUAAUUAUCAAUCUCUAUGCACUUAAUUAAUAUUUCUGAAGCCCAUCUUAAAGGUGUAAUAAAGUAGAAAAAUGAAAAUAUAUUGUUAAAAUAGCCAGAAAUGUUUUUAUAAAUAAUCCUCCUAAAUAAAUCUGAGGCCCUUUGUUAAUUUACAAUUAUCAUGAUUCAUUUUAUUAAUAAACUUGUUUGAAUUGUACUACAAAUUUAACUGAAUUAUAUCAUCAAAAUAAAUCAAACAGGGUAAUAAAAAUAACAAUUAUAGGUGACUGAUGUCAGACUCAUAACAACUCAUCAUUUUCUUGUAGCCUCUGAUUCUGUACUUUCUUGUGUAUUAUUAAAGAGGUAAAUGCUCUCUUAAAAUGCCUCUAGUUCCUCAGAGGUAGGAAAAAUAAACUCAACCUGCUUUGGACUUGUGUAUUUACUUGGGUUGGUUUCCAGAAUCUCCUUAUUCCUGAAACAGUAUGAUCAUGUAGUUAAACUGCUCCUUUAUAUCUAUAAGUACUGUGCAGCCAACAUGUUCUUUUUUGUCUCCAACUUCUGCCAUCUUUCCAACCUCUGAGGCAUGCUAUUUUAUAGUGGUUUGCUCUUUGAAAAAUUGUUUUUGUGCCCUCUCUUAAUAGUCACAGAUACUGACACAAAACUUAAAAAUGACCAGAAAACAAUGUAUAAAUUAUUUAAAAUAAAACAUUCUUUUUAUAUCACAUUAUCAAAUUUGUACUCUUUAUUCACUUUUCCAUUAAGUGUGAUGUCAAUAUAGCUAGGCUGUUUUGAGCUUGCAUAGUCUGUCUACCAAGCUUCUUCCUAAGUACUUUGAGGGUAAAAUGAAGAAGGCAGUCUAGGAAGGAACACAAUUACAGAGCCUUGUAGAAGGCAGACUGAUUACAGGAGCUGUAUAAGGAAAAUUAAGCCCAACAUUAUGUGCUGUGUUGGCCAUCAUGCAAAGCUGAUUGCAUAACCCUGGUUACCUCCUCCAUCAUCUUCCAUGGAAGAUAAAAAUAAAUUCAAAUGUUAAUUCAGUAGACAUGAUGUUUUAUAAUGAAGUUUGUAGCAGAAACCUGAGAAUAUAUGUAUCUUCUUAAGAAGAUCAAGAGAGGCUUUGUGAAUAGCUGACCUUCUAAGCAGGUCUUGAAGGAUGGAGACAAUGGUCAAAUAGUAGUGCAGGGAGAAAUUGCCACCUAAAGUAAUUAAAGCAGAUGUAGCCUCGGAAGAUCAUUUAAUUGAGCUGGUUGGAGCAUAGACAGGAGGAGUAAUACUAAGUAUAUUUGACAGAGUAGGUUUGAGUUUACAUCGUGAUUUCUGAGUGCAUGGAAUACUAUCCAAAGGAAUUUACAUUUUAUUCAAGGGAGAAUAUUUUAAGACCUCAGUAGAGUGGAACUUAAGAUUUCUACUUUCAGUAGAAGCCUCUGACAGGGUAUGUUUGCUAAAUUGAAUGGGAGUGAAAUACAGUAGAAUCAAAACAGUGUAGAAACAAGACAUGAGAAAGAGUAACUGGCAGAUUGUUAGAUAUCCAGGAAUAUUUGUCUGGCUUUUUUACUUCUACUAUACUUUAUUGUUUCAAGGUGAUGGUUGACUAGCGAACAUACUGAGUGUCACAUGCUAAACACUAUUUUGAGUGUUCUACAUGUAAUUUUUUUCCUUGGUCAUCUUAGCAAUUCUGUGACUAAUUAAUAAUAUUUGUUGUUAUUUAUUGUACAGAUGAGGAAACUGAAGAGAGUUUUAGUAACUUUUUUAAGAUUACACAAUAAACAAUGAUGAAUCAAGCUUUGAAGCCAACCUCACCAACCACAAGAUCAACCAACACUCUUCACCAAUGUGUAAUAUAACCACGUUAAUAUUCAACAUAGUAUGUACUGCUGAAAGAAGUUGAUACUUAUUCAUAUUAACCCCGUAGUUUUGUGUUUCCUCAUCUGUAAAAGUAUGUAUUAUAACAUCUUCUCUCCACCUUACAGCGUGUGAGGCUCAAAUGACCAUUCAUUGGAAGAUAUUUUUUAUAUCCUAUAAGGCAUUAUAAAAAUAAAUCAUUUUUCCUAAA